rnacentral:lncRNA from 1 species
UGAGAUGUGACAGAAACGGGUAAUGUUGCAAACAAAAUUUACAAAUGGCACAGAGGAGUCAUUGUAGGAGCUCUACCUGCCGGCGAAGAGAGGAACUGCAGGCGCACCUUACACAGUGAAACGGGCUUUGAUGGAGAAAAUGCACGACGUCGCAUAAUUUAGAAAGCUGCAAGCAAUAAGAAUGGAGGAGGAGUCAGAGUUGAGUCAGAAAAUACCAUUGGUUCGUUGGAGGAGUGACGUACAAGGAGCGCUCCCUCUCGCGGCCACGGCGCGUCACUGAAACCCCAGCAUCGGCUCAGGGCCCGGGGGUCCUGCUGGACUGAAGACCAAACCAGCUCACCUAAGAGCCCGAGGGACCCCAAAACUAAAAAGACUCACCCAACUCACAAACGAAGAGCUUAUUUUAGAAAACACAGAAUGCUUAAUGUGAUGUACCAGAGGAGCGGUCUCCACAGAUGGCACACAGGCGUUUCUGUGAAACCAUGGGUCCUGGACUGUGAGAGGACAGCGGCUUCAAACCAAAGGGUGGCUUCACGUCAUCGGAGCUGCUGACGGCAUGCAGACCUGACAUGGACAC